UACGGAGGGAGCUAGCGUUGUUCGGAAUCACUGGGCGUAAAGGGUGCGUAGGCGGCCGUGCAAGUCUGGCGUGAAAGCCCCGGGCUCAGCCCGGGAAGUGCGCUCGAAACUGCGCGGCUCGAGUGCCGGAGGGGAGAGUGGAAUUCCUGGUGUAGCGGUGAAAUGCGUAGAUAUCGGAAGGAACACCGAUGGCGAAGGCAGGUCUCUGGGCUGAUACUGACGCUCAGGCACGAAAGCGUGGGGAGCAAACAGG
rnacentral:rRNA from 1 species